rnacentral:misc_RNA from 1 species
GGAUGAAGAACGCAGCGAAAUGCGAUAAGUAAUGUGAAUUGCAGAAUUCAGUGAAUCAUCGAAUCUUUGAACGCACCUUGCACCCUUUGGCAUUCCGAAGGGUAUGCUCGUUUGAGUGUCAUUGUACUCUCACACUCUCCGAUCCUAUGGAUUCGGGGAGCGGUGGACUUGGGUGUUGCUGCCUUUCCCUGUGGCUCACCUCAAAUGCGUCAGUGCACCUCUUGGUUGGACAUAGUACGGCGUGAUAAGUGUCUUCGCCGGCACCUCGCAAGAGGGUGGCCGAUCGGGAGCUCUGCGCUUUCAAACCGUCUUCGGACAAUUUCUGACAUCUUGACCUCAAAUCGAGUAGGACUACCCGCUGAACUUAAGCAUAUCAAUAAGCGGAGGA